CACAGCUGCAAAUAUGUAAACAAAGGUUACAUGCUUAGAAAGGAAAAUUGAGCCUUAAGUCAUGUUUUUGUGAUAGACUUUUGUUAGUUCUUAGUCUACUGUUAACAUGAAGCCCAGUGCCAAAUUAAAUUCCUUAUUCCUAGAUUGGAGUGCAUGCUGUUCCAGGAACUCACUUUGUGGUUAUUUUGUUUAGGUUUGGGAUUGCUUCGUUUUCAUUUUGCUCAUCUGACUCGGAACCCCUUGCUUUCUGUUUGGUAGGAAUAAAUCAGAUCGGGUGUAGCUUGUAUAACGAGAUGGGGGCAUCUACAAAAAGUGAUUAACAGGAAAAAGAAGCCAUGGGGUGUUGUUGGUUUAAGUUAUAUUCCAAUGUGUGGCCUUAGGCCUUGGAAACCCAGAGAAUGCUGUGUUUUUGCUAUCUCCAGAAGUUGUGUAUGAUUUUCAUUGGUGGACCUGAGAAUGCAGUCAUGCUUCAAAUAAAAUUGGUACAUUAACUUGGAAGAGGAGAGAAAAGGACAGUGGAGGAAGGAAGCUGAGCAGAGAGAUGAAGCUAAGCAACAUCUGAAAGGUAGCUGACCAGUGCAAUGGAUGUUUUAGACUCAACAAAUACCCUGUUAAGCUAGAUUCCUAACAUAGCCAUGGAUUUUCAUUUCUGUUCUGAAAGAAUUUGGAUCUGAUGUAACCCAGGUGUUAUUCAUGAAGAAUAUAUUCAUAAAAGUAUUAGUCCUGCCAGAAACAUUCCAGCCCAUCAAAAGAGAAUAGAAAAACUUGCUGAACUCUGGAAGACAGUGGUUAUAUGGAGAAGAAAAGGUAAGAGUAAUUUCUAUGCAUUUCUUAAGGUAUAUCUAUUUGAAGCCUGGCAUAAUUUUUUUAAUGAUAGAGGUUUUUAGGUACAUAGUCUAGAUGCAUAGGUUUUUUUUACAGAUCAUAUCAAUGAUAUAGGGAAG
rnacentral:lncRNA from 1 species